rnacentral:misc_RNA from 1 species
AACGGUCUAUACCUGCGGUACCUGCGGAGGGAUCAUUAAUGAGAAGCUGCCCCUCGUGGGUAGACCUCCCACCCUCUGUGAACUUACCUUUGUUGCUUUGGCAGGCCCGUCCUCUGGACCGCCGGCUUCGGCUGGCCCGUGCCUGCCAGAGGAUUCCAAACCCUGUCUGUCAGUGUUGUCUGAGUCUAUAUGAAAUCGUUAAAACUUUCAGCAACGGAUCUCUAGAUCGGAAGAGCACAC